GCACGGACGGAAAGCGCAGUUGGUAGAGCGUGAGAUUCUUCAUCUCAAGGUUGUGGGUUUGAAUCUUGCGUUGGGCA